rnacentral:rRNA from 1 species
GUGCCAGCCGCCGCGGUAAGACGAAGGUGGCGACCGUUGUUCGGAAUCACUGGGCAUAAAGAGCUCGUAGGCGGUGAGAAAAGUAGGGUGUGAAAUCCCUCGGCCCAACCGAGGAACUGCGCUCUAAACUGUCUUGCUUGAGGACCGAAGGGGACCACGGAAUUCCUGGUGGAGCGGUGAAAUGCGUUGAUAUCAGGAGGAACACCGGCGGCGAAGGCGGUGGUCUGGUCGGUUUCUGACGCUGAGGAGCGAAAGCUAGGGGAGCAAACGGGAUUAGAUACCCGAGUAGUCC